AUCAACCAUCAUCUGGGUGCCCCCCAACACGGAGGGUCACCUCCCUUCGACAUGGGUAUCCCUAAUGAGGAGCAAGCUAAUCAUCAAAACAUUGAUCAACAUGAGACUUCUCUCAACUCAGAUGUUUCGACCCGAAGUAGAAGAAAUGGAGGAAAACACCUCAUUGCAGAAGGGUUUGAAGGAUCAAAAGUCGUUUAUCGUGAUUGCCGAGACUUCCUAAAGCAACGUCGAGAGAAUCCCCUCCACAUAUGCUCGAAGAUCAAUGACCUAAGGGUUUCUGAAAGACUCGGUCCCUUCUCACGACCCAGGCCAGCUGCUAAUCUAGGGAAGGAAUGACAGGUCCCAGAGGAAUAUGAAGGUACGGAGGACUCUGAGGUAUUCCGAUAGACUCGUCCUAUAAGUCAGUACGGCGAGUCCAAGAAAAAACCACACGCCCUUACUCAAACUUUCCUACUUCCAAGAGGCGAUGGAAACUUACGAAAGAAAAUUCCAGUGGUACAUGACUUUACUCAGGACCCCCUUGUCCUUCAGCUUCUUGUGGAAGUAACCAAGUUGAAGGCCGAACGUCAGGCCGAGAUACCUGACUCGAACCAACCUAGGCAUGGCUCUCUCAUAAGAAGGAUCAUCGACACCCCCUUUCAAGUGAAGACAAAACAAAAGCUUAGUUUACAACUCUAUACUAGAAGGGAGGACCUAAUUGAACACCUUAACCUCUUUGAGGCCACCAUGGCAUAUCGGAUGCAUACUGACGAAGAGUAAUGUCUUCUCUUCCUCUCCACCCUCUCUGGCGGAGCUCUAAACUGGUAUUGCCAUCUUCCACCUGAGACAGUAGACUCAUUUGAGGAAUUGAGGAAACUGUUUGUCUCUCAACACAUCUUCCAGACCGAUCACUUGCAUUCUACGGAUGACUUGUACACUAUUCGCUAGAAGCCGGACGAGUCACUACGAGAGUAUGUCGGUCGCUUCAGCCAUGAGUAUUCUCGCUGCACUGAGGCAGAUGACAAGACCGCCCUCAAGGCCUUCAAGGCAGGCCUACGUGAUUGUUUCUUCAAGUACAUGAUCAAUGCCAACACUUGGAAGACUUACUCUGAGAUGAUGGCACAAGCUUACAACCACGCCUACGCCGAAGUAAAGACAUACCAAGGGAACCCCCAUAUGGUUAACCCCUAUCAAGAAAUGGGAAGUGGAAGUCAAGUUCUACCAAGUGAGGAGAUAUUAGCCUUUCAGACACCCAUUGCAUCAUCUCCUGCCUCAUUUAGCUACUCGCUAAGUCACCAAACGUAUCUGUCUCUUUGUAAGAGGAAGGAUUUUUACUCUCAGCAAGCCCAUUACAGCAAGAGGGAUAAAAGUUCGUAUCAAGACAACCAGGGGUGAACGUACCGUCGAUUAUUAUGUCUAUAGGGCCAUGCCUCACUCUUUCAAAGUGAAGGACUAGGUACUGAAGGAAAUGUUAUUAUAAGAAGGCAUACACAUUACAAAUGUUUUGACUCUUAACCGCUUGAGAUCUUUUGUCACACAAGCCAUUCGGCAAAUAUUUAAAGAAGAGGGAAUUCAUACAACUUCUUCUGAGUCUUUUGCGUUCCUAGCACUGGAACACUUGGUCUACAUUGACCUACCCUUAUACUCCAACUCAGAGCUUCAACAUGCGUACUUUGACACAAAGUAUGUGAUACUAAGUGUUACAACUAACAUGGUUCACAUAUCAAAAGCAUGGAUCCCUUCAUGCAUAGCAAAACAUUCAUCAGCAUCACACAUAUCAAUCAACAUAAACAUUAUACAUUCCAACACAUUCAUACAUAAACAUCAUACAUUCCAACACAUUCAUACAUAAACAUCAUACAUUCCAACACAUCCAUACAUAAGCCAACUGUGCUUCAAAAGGGUUCAACAUACUUUGUGUCUUCAACACUUGCUACAAUGUGCCUCGACACCUUGCCCUUAUUCUCACCAACCAGGUGAUGAAAUGUGAAGAAGGAACUCAUCUUCAUGCCACCAACCAAGUGAUGAAAUGUACAACCCGUACUCUAAUAUCAUUUGGCAACUUGCCACUCAUGCCACUAACCAGGUGAAGAAGGAACUCAUCUUCAUGCCACCAACCAGGUGAAGAAGGACCUCAUCUUCGUGCCACCAUCCAGGUGAUGAAAUGUCCAACCCGUACUCUCCUUCAUGCCACUAACCAGGUGAUGAAAUGUACAACCCGUACUCUAAUAUCAUUUGGCAACUUGCCACUCAUGCCACCAACCAGGUGAAGAAUGAACUCAUCUUCAUGCCACAAACCAGGUGAUGAAAUGUACAACCCAUACUCUCCUUCAUGCCACCAACCAGGUGAUGAAAUGUACAACCAGUACUUUAAUAUUAAUUGACAACUUGCCAUUCAUGCCACCAACCAGGUAAAGAAGGAAAACAUCUUCAUGCCACCAACCAGGUGAUGAAAUGUACAACCCGUACUCUCCUUCAUGCCACCAACCAGGUGAUAAAAUGUACAACCCGUACUCUAAUAUCAUUUGGCAACUUGCCAUUCAUGCCACCAACCAGGUGAAGAAGGAACUCAUCCUCGUGCCACCAACCAGGUGAUGAAAUGUGAUGAAAGGUGAUGAAGGAACUCACCUUCGUACCACCAACUAAGUGAUGAAAGCAACUCACCAUUCAUUCCACCUACCAGAAGACGAGUGGUACAACUUGUACAUGUGAACUCUUAGCAUUCACAAAUAAUCAAAAACCCUCAAGCUUGACAACUCAACUAGGGGAGCACUUAUGCCUAACAAGAGUUAUAGUCACCAAUAAAGUCUUAUUGCAAGCCAAUAACAACUUCAGUGCAUGGCAUACGAAGAUUAAGCUAUUCAGCCCUCUUGCAUCUGCUUCAAGCAUUUCCCCUCUGUAACAAUGCAAACACUACAACUCGUAGAAAGCUUCACACACUCUUGAUCAAGACAGUGUGAAGCAAAACCAAUUUAUGGUGCUAACAAGAGCUUCAUCAAAGAAGUUCAACCACAAUUCUUAAAAACUUCACACAUUUUUUAUCAAGACAGUGUGAAGCAAAACCAAUUUAUGGUGUCAACAAGAGCUUCAUCAACGGAGGGCAACUACAAUUCUCAAAAGCUUCACACACUCUUGAUCAAGAGAGUGAAGCAAAACUAAUUUAUAGUGCCAACAAGAGCUUCAUCAAUAGAGGGCAACCACAAUUCUCAAAAGCUUCACACACUCUUGAUCAAGACAAUGUGAAGCAAAACCAAUUUAUGGUGCCAACAAGAGCUUCAUCAAAGGAGUUCAACCACAAUUCUCAAAAGCUUCACAUACUCUUGAUCAAGACAGUGUGAAGCAAAACCAAUUUAUGGUGCCAACAAAAGCUUUAAAUUGGUGCCAACAAGAGCUUCAUCAAUGGAAGGCAACCAUAAUUCUCAAAAGCUUCACACACUCUUGAUCAAGACAGUGUGAAGCAAAACCAAUUUACGGUGCCAACACAAAUUUCAUCAAAAGAGUUCAACCACAAUUCUCAAAAGCUUCACACACUCUUGAUCAAGACAGUGUGAAGCAAAACCAAUUUAUGGUGCCAACAAAAGCUUCAUCAAUGGAAGGCAACUACAAUUCUCAAACCUUCGAAGCAAAUUCAAGACUGUUCGAAGCAAAUUCAAUUUAUAUGGUUCAUCCAAACCUUCGACUACUACAAGGUGUGGCUUGCAUCACAAUCUCUUGCUCAACAGUGUGGAAGCAAAAUUUGUAUAUGUUGUCUCUCCCACAUUUUUCAAAUUUCUAGUUUCCCAAAAAAAAAAAAUUGGGAAAUUCAACAAAGCUUCAUCAAUGGAGGACAACUACAAAUUCUCAAAAGCUUCACACUAUCUUGAUCAAGAUAGUGUGAAGCAAAAUCAAUUCGUGGUACCCAACAAAGCUUCACCACAAAAGCUUCACCAACAAAAGCUUCAUCAAUGGAGGACAACUACAAAUUCUCAAAAGCUUCACACUAUCUUGAUCAAGAUAGUGUGAAGCAAAAUCAAUUCAUGGUACCUAACAAAAAGCUUCAACUCCAAAGCUUCACCAAUAAAAACUUUAUCAAUGGAGGACAACUACAAAUUCUCAAAAGCUUCACACUAUCUUGAUCAAGAUAGUGUGAAGCAAAAUCAAUUCAUGGUACCCAACAAAAGCUUCAACUCCAAAGCUUCACCUACAAAGCUUCAACUCCAAAGCUUCACCUACAAAAGCUUCACACCCACAAUAGCUUCACCCACAAAGCUUCACCUACAAAAGCUUCACCCAUAAAAGCUUCACCAACAAAAGCUUCACCCACAAAAGCUUCACCCACCACAAAAGCUUCACCGACAAAAACUUCACCCAUAAAAGCUUUACCAACAAAAGCUUCACCCACAAAAGCUUCCACCACCAUAAAAGCUUCACCCACAAAAGCUUCCCCCAUCACAAAAGCUUCACCAACCACAAAAGCUUCACCCAUAAAAGCUUCACCUACAAAGCUUCAACACAAAAGCUUCACCUAAAAAAGCUUCACAUUAUCUUGAUCAAGAUAGUGUGAAGAUAGUGUGAAGCAAAAUCAAUUCAUGGUACCCAACAAAGCUUCAAUCUCAAAGCUUCACCUACAAAGCUUCAACAACAAAGCUUCACCUACAAAGCUUCAACAACAAAGCUUCACCUACAAAGCUUUAAAAUAUAUAUAUAUAUAUAUAUAUAUAUUUUUUUUUUUUGAAAUUCGAAAAUAAAAAAUAAAAAAAAAUUCGAAAAAUAAAAAAUUUCAAAAAAAAAUUCGAAAAAAAAAUUGCUUAGGCCUCCUUUUCUUUGGGCCUAACAACUUUCAUAACAAAUAUAUAUGAAGAAGGAGUUUUGGGCUACCACUUAGAAAGGAAAUGCCUCAUUCGUCAACUCCCUCGACCGGAGACUUAGGGGACUCCUACCAUAUGCUACUGCACCUUGAUACUCGGAAGUCUCACGACCACUCAGUGACUUGGAUUUUUCAAGUCUCCAAACGAGAAGUUUUCCUCACUCGGAAAAUUAAGGGAGCACUACCUCAACCUACAUGCUUCACUCACAAAGCUUCAACAUACAAGCUUCAACAAAAGGAAAAAUUCAAAGAACUUAGUGAAGAAGGCCUUGGUGUAUUUAACACAAUACGUUGAAAUGAAGCAAAGCUUGUUUAUUGAUAUCUCCGAUAAGUUACAAAUAUGUACAUAUACAUGAAUCAAAAUAAACAAACAAGAGGAGCCUUCACAAAGGUUGCUCAGGAGAAGUCUCAGCAGUCGGCAAGGGCCCCAGAAAGAGGAGGCACCAGAGGGUGAUUAUUCGGAGCCUCAGUACUAGGCAGAACCCCAGAAGGAGGAGGCACCGAAGGUUGAUCAUUUGGAGCUUCAUUACGCGGUACAGCCCCAGAAGACGAAGGCAAUAAAUGCCUUUGGAACAAACCCACAAACCUCUGAUGAUCAAGUAAAAUCUGACCAUCAGAUUCCUGCAGCUGGUCGAGCUUCCUCUUCAUGUUUGUAGCAUAGUCAUGUGCGAGCCUGUGCAACUGUUUAUUCUCAUGCUUGAGCCCUCUGAUCUCCUGUUUGAGACUUAUCACUUCAGCCGCCAAUGAUUCAACUUGGCGGGUUCGAGCAAAUAGGCGUUGGGCCAUAUUAGACACAGAACCUGCACACUGAACACUGAGAGCCAGAGAAUCCUUAACAGCCUUCAUCAGACCGUUUGGAAAGUAGUCUGUUAUCUUUGGGAGUGAGAAGGUUCCUGGCCACCACCGCAGCGGUCAUAUCAUUCUUCAUCACAGAGUCCCCAACGGUAAGAGGACCAGUAGGGGAUAAGAAGGAUGGGUGCCAUAUGUUGUCUUGAGAAGGCAUGGCUGCCUCUUCACCAAAGUUCAAGUCAAAACGACGGUCGGAUGGGCCAGACAUUCUCAGAAAUGAUGAAGGAGAAAUGAGGUGCAAUAAAUCUCUGAAGUAAGGGGAAAAUUCCUACAAGCAAUAACUCUCUGAAUGUACUUCUUGCACAUAAUUGGUGCCCUUAUAAAAGAAAGGGCAACAGGGCCGUUGGUUCAAAAAUCGAAGAGGCACCACUCUUCGGAUUCCAAAGAGGCACCACUUUCCACACGCAACAUCAGCUCCUCGGGUACCACAUAUAACUUUGCCAAAGAUCUCUGACAAAGUUUAGACACAUAAAUUUUAAAGGUCCAGCUAUCCUACUAUUACCCACAAGGGUAAAGGAACAACACCACUGCUUGAUAACUAGAAAGUCCCAAUGUGUGUCAACCUCCGUGCUCCGUGGCAAGGCAGACUGGCAAAAAUGCCCAACCUUUACUCACAUUUGAUAAAACACUCCCAACAAGAUUGCUUGCUCAAAAAUCGAAGAGACAUCGCCCUCCGAAUCUAGAUAGCCAGACUCCCAACAGGAUUAUUUUCUCAAAAAUCGAAGAGAUACUGCUCUCCGAAUCUCAAGAGUCAGACUCCCAACAAGAUUGCUUUCUAAAAAAUCGAAGAGGCACUGCUAUCUGAAUCUCGAGAGCUAGACUCCCAACAAGAUUACGUGCUCAAAAAUCGAAGAGGCACCGCCCUCUGAAUCUCGAGAGCCAGACUCCCAACAGGAUUACUUUCUCAAAAAAUCGAAGAGACUGCUUUCCGAAUCUCAAGAGUCAGACUCCCAACAGGAUUGCUUUCUCAAAAAUCGAAAAGGCAUCGUUAUCUGAAUCUUGAGAGCCAGAUCCUCGACAGGAUUGCUUGUUCGAAAAUCAAAGAGACACCGCUCUCUGAACUCCGAGAGCCAGAUUUCCUUGGAUAAAGCUUGUCUGCAAUCUUCACACACAACAUCAGUUUUCCAGAUACUACAAACCACUUUUUCAAAGUGCUCUGACAAAGUUAAAACACGUGAAGCUUGCAGCUCCCAUUACAUUGCUAUGACCAAGAAGGGUAAAGAAAUAGCACUACUACUUGUUAUUAGGGAGACUCAUAUAUAUAUCGACCUCCAUCCUCCACAACCAGGCAGACCUACAAAUAAAAAAAAAUGCUCAACUUUUCUUCACAUCCGAGAAGGCACCCUCAGCAGAGUCUCAUGAAAUACUCAGCUUUUUUUCCUCCCGAUAAUACCUCUGCAAACAAGCCACACCAGAGCAAGAGUAUCUCAUAUCAUCAGGGUUAAAAGCAAGAGUAUCCCAUAUCAUGCUUUUUCCCUGUUUUUUCCUUUGGCCUUGUUUUUACCUACAAGACAAGGAGAAAAAGAGCAAUCAGUCAGCGCUUGAAAUCAAGCUUCAAGUCAGGAACUACCUCUUGCCUGAUUACUUACCUGACAUUGCUCUCGAGUACUCAUCUUCAACAUCUUAUGCUUUCAGAGAAGAUACCAUAUCUGCCUGAGGAACAGAUAAGGCAAGUGAGAAGGAUACAAGGAAGCAAGUGGAGACAAGCGUAACAGAACACGUGCCGAUACAUCCACUACUUUGUCAACAACAAAAGUAUCCCAUAUCAUCAGGGUCGAACGUACUCUAGAUUUGAUGGACUUGUUUUGACCCUCAAAUUCUUGAGUCGGCCUUAUACUCUGGAGGAAACCAGAAAACCCUCCAGCCCAGUUCAAGAAUAAGCAUGUGGAAAGUUACUUCUUCAAAAGCAAAAGUAUCUCAUAUCAUCUCUUCUCCAUUUGUUUCUCCUUAUCCUUGUUGCUAUUUAAGACACAAGGAGAAGGAGAACAAUCAACCGGAAGCCGAAGUUGAACCUCUGAUCCAGGUUGCUUGCUUGGAAGUCUGAUUGCUUACCUUUUCUGUUACCUCUCUCGGCAAAUCUCCUAGCUCGACGACUUGGGGGACUCCUACUACAGGGUUUGUAUCGCACAUGACCAAGCUCGAAAUUACAAGUAAGCUUCAAGUGAAAUUGAUACAUUACCUUAUGCAUCUUCAUCGGUUAAAGAUACCACCCAUGGAUAGAGGAAAAGUACCUCUAGAGAAGAUGCCACAUCUACAUAUGAGACAGAUAAGACAAGUGAAAAUGAUACCACACUUCGGUACUUAGAAGUUUCGUGAUUACUUAAUAGCUUGGAUCUUGUAAGUCCCUAACCGAGGAGCUUCCCUUACUCGGGAGCUUAGGGGAUCACUGUUUGUACCAUACUUGACCAAUCCCAAAACUACUGAGCACCGGUCAAAGUUAUACCGUCAAGGACCCAUAAGUGUUUCCCUCCAACCAGGAGGCCAAUCACAGCGUGACACGUGUCGACAUCAGAAGCCAAUCAUAGCGCGACACGUGUCAACAUCAGAAGUCAAUCACAACACGACAUGUGUCAAUGUCAGAAUGAAACUAGAAACUCUCUUCUAUAAAUAGAGAUCAUUCUCUCAUAAUAUUUCCUAAUGUCAUUUGUACUAAAUCAUUCACUAGUACUCACUAAAGAAGAGUUUGAACAUAUGUACUUGUGUAAACCCUUCACAAUUAAUAAGAACUCCUCUACUCUAUGGACGUAGCCAAUCUGGGUGAACCACAUACAUCUUGUGUUUGCUUCCCUGUCUCUAUCCAUUUGCAUACUUAUCCACACUAGUGACCGGAGCAAUCUAGCGAAGGUCACAAACUUAACACUUUCUGUUAUACCAAAGUCCUCACUGAUUUUGUGCAUCAAUAUUGUACAAAUGAAAGGUAUGGUGACUAUAGAAGCUAAAAAUAAAUAAACAGAAAAUAAAGGAAAAGUGACAAAGAAAAAUAUUAGUUUGUGUCGUUCUCAUUGUAAUAGUCUGUCAUGUGAUAUAUUUUAUACAUUGUAAUAUGAACGAUGAGUAAGUGUUUUGUUUUUUUUGUCAAACAAUAUAUUUGUUAGAUUAGAGAAUUGACGGGGUUCGAAUCCACGUCGUGGUGCAAGGCCACCACUAGUCUCCACUACUGUGGUAGAGUGCCACUUGUGGUCAGUAAGUUAUUAAAUGGUGUGAGAAUUACACCAAAAUAUUCAUUAGUUUUGGAGUAAUGCUAGAGAGACUAAAUUUGUAGACAAAAUUUUAAAAACUAAAAGACAUAAAAGUUAAUGAUUGGUUUAUUACUUAAGUGUUAAUAAACAUGCUUAUUCCUAUUGGUGACACAUUAUUUAGUUUACAAAUUUUGUCUAUAAAUUUAGUCUCUGUGGCAUUACCCUUAGUUUUAGGCUUUGUAAUCAAAAUGGUCUUAGAGAUUGGUACAACUCUUUACUUUGGUCCCAAAUAUUGAAAAUUGAUAGAAGUAAUCCCUGAGUUUGUUCACCGUAAAUCAUUUUGGUGCAUCCGUGAAAAGUCUGUCAACACCAUCUUUAAAUUGUCAUAUGAGCGACCACAAGACAACCUUUUCCAUAGUAUUGUCAAACUAACUCCUUUUAUUAACCAAAAUGGUCGAGUUUGGUAUAACCUCUCAUUUUGAUUACUAACAAUGAAUAUCAAUAGAUGUGGUCCUUGAGUUUGUCUAUCGUAAAUCAUUUUGGUCAUUCUAUGAAAAAUUUAUCAAUAUACUCGUUAAAUUGUCAUGUGAGCGACCGCGUGAUCACCUUUUAAAGGGCAUUUUUACCAAACCAACCCCUCCACUUAACAAGAAUAUUGAUAGAGUUUUCAAGGAAGGAACAAAAUGAUUUACGAUGGUCAAACUCAAUGACCACUUCUAUCAGUUUUCAUUGUUAGGGACUAAAAUAAAGAGUCAUGUCGAUAUCAGGAACUAUUUUGGUUAAAAGGGGUUGGUUUGAUAAAAAAAUACAUUUAAAAGGGUGGUUACAUGGUCGCUCAUGUAACAACUCAAUGAUGAUAUUGAUAGAUUUUUUACUGAAUGAUCAAAAUAAUUUAUGGUGGAUAAAGUCAAAAACCACGUCUAUCGAUUUUGUAAUCUUAGAAACUAAAACGAAGAAUUAUGACAAUCUCAAAAAUCAUAAGUUUAACUAAAAACUCUUCUUGUUAUACAUCAAAAUUAAUGAAUGUGCUUUUGUAGAGGACGUAAAUGUGUCAACGAAUCAGACCUUCACUAGUUAAAACCAUCCCUACUAAUGCUGUUUGAAAAGUAAGUACUAAUAUGAUUAAUGAUUGUACAGAAAAAUAAGUACUAAUAUGAUUAAUGAUUGUACAGAAAAAAAUAUAUUAUCUGAACAGCUCAUCGUGCAUGUUGAUUGAUGUAAAGUGAAUUUUUUUUUUUUUGGUAAACUUGGGAAGGUGGAACUUGGGAAGGAAUUUCACAUUCUUGGGGUGAUCAAUAUAAUGAGAUUGUAAGUCUAGUUAAACAUGCUUAAUUAAACAUUUAAGCAUCUUUUAUUUAUUUGUUUUCAUUCUUUAUUCCUUCUUAAUUUGUUGUAAUUGUUUGGAACAACUAGCAAGACAAAUCUAGCUAGCUAGCAUUCACUGCACAAUGAAAGAUUAUUCGUAUUUGGAAAUGAAUAAUUAGUUAAAACCUGUAUUAUUAGGCAAAUGGGAUCGUAAAUAUUUGUAUCUUAAACCUUCACAGUCAGAGAUAUUCGAGUCAAUUAGUUAAAAGCUAUGAAAAUUGUGAAUGUGACAGACUACGUACUAAAGUCUGGAUUAUUUGAGAGAGAGAGAGACAUGAGUCUCGCAGCCGACUGGUCCCUCAUCUGAGCAGAAAGAACCAUAGAAAGUUAGGCAACCACGCACAUUUUCAAAGAUGUCGAUCAUGAAAAAUAUUUCACAAAUAAAUUCAGGGAAGACUUUCUGUUUAAAUUAUUAACCCAGAAAUAAAGCUCCAUCUCUUGGUAGCUAGCCUUUCUGCUACGUACUCUUGUUGCAUUAAACUAAACCUUAUUAAAGCAAAAAUAAUCACACCUUAGGUGAUAGGUUUAGGGAAAUGGUUAAUGAUUUUAGCAAGUUCUUGUUUAUUUUUUAAUUUUUAAUUUUUUUUUCUUUAAUCAAUUUAAAUGCUAAAAUUAAACAACGAUGUGCACCACAAAUAAGAGGGUGUGUGAAAAUUAUAUCUCUAUAUCUAGAGAAAAUUAUGGCAAUGGUUCUUUAACUUUAAUAAAAUUGAAGUAAUGGUCUCUCAAAUAAAAAUUUAUGAUCAUUGGUCCCUUAAUUCUUUCAAACAUGCAACUAUAGUCAUUUUCAUCAAUUCCAUAAGAACGUCCAUCAAAAUGAGUCACGUUUCAUGCAAUGAGGCUGAAUCGAAGGACAAAUAUGAAAAACCAAAUGAGAAAAAUUGUAGCAGUGGUCUCUCAACUCUAACCCAACUAGAGAAAUAGUCUCUCAACUUUAACUCAAUUAGAGUAAUGAUCCUUCAACCUUAACGUAAUUGUAGCAAUGGUUAUUCAAACAUAACUUAUUUUGACAGAAUUCUAACGGAGUUAACAAAAAAAUCAUAGCUGCACGUUUUGAUGAGUCAAGAGACCAAUGAUCAUGGAUUUUUAGUUGAAGAACAAUUGCUCUAAUUGGGUUAAAGUUGAGAGGCAAUUGCUACAAUCUUCUCCUAUAUUUAUUUAUUAUUAUCUACGUUUACAAUGAACCAUCUACUCCAUGAAGCAAGAUAUUAAAAAAGGACAAGGAUUGUCUGCCCUUCCAUUUUCCAUGCCCUCCUGUUUUGUGUGAUCACAGUUAAGCCACGUUAACAUUUUAUAUAUUUUUUAUAAAGAUAAUAAAACAAAAAUGAAUAGUAAUAUAAAAUAUUGACGUGGCUUAACCGUGACCACACAAACAAGAGGGCAUGGAAGGGCAUGGAAAAAGGAAGGGCAGACAAUCCUUUCCAUUAAAAAAAGGGCAGGGCUUAACAAAAUUCAGUCAAAGGCCUCCUUGAUCCAAACAUUAAUUGAUAAUCUAUUCAAACAGUGGCCCCAUUAGUCUUAUUUUAACAUUAAUCUUAUUUUUUACUAAGGUAAUUAAUAAUUGCAAGUGAAAUUUGGCAUGAUUACCGUGGUGUUAAAGGUAAAGACCAAAGCUAUAUAAAGGGUGAGAAGGCUUAGCUUAAGAGGCAGAAAUCCCAUUCUUAACAAAGAUGGGGAAAAUGGGGCCUUCACAAGUGACCUCUCUUGUGGUCACUAUACUAGUGGCACUAGUCUCUCUCACAUUGCCUUCAGAAACUUCAGCUAACUACCCUUACUCAUCUCCACCACCACCGGCUUCUCCUCCCUACCACUACAAGUCACCACCACCUCCUUCUCCUUCUCCUCCAGUGUACUCACCACCUAAGCAUCCCUACCACCCCAAGUCACCACCACCAUCACCAAAGCCUUACCACUACAAGUCCCCACCACCACCUCCUCCUCCAGUGCACUCACCACCCCCACCAAAGGAGCCUUACCACUACAAGUCUCCACCACCACCACCCAAGAAACCUCACCAUCACAAGUCUCCUCCACCACCACCCAGGAAGCCCUACCACCCGGUGCACUCACCCCCACCACCAAAGAAGCCUUACCAUUACAAGUCUCCUCCACCACCACCCAAGAAGCCCUACCACCCGGUGCACUCACCCCCACCACCAAAGAAGCCUUACCAUUACAAGUCUCCUCCACCACCACCCAAGAAGCCCUACCACCCGGUGCACUCCCCACCACCACCAAAGAAGCCUUACCAUUACAAGUCUCCUCCACCACCACCCAAGAAGCCCUACCACCCGGUGCACUCACCCCCACCACCAAAGAAGCCUUACCAUUACCAAUCCCCACCACCACCACCACCACACAAGAAGCCUCACCACCCAGUUCACUCACCACCUCCACCUAAGAAGCCUUACCACUACACGUCUCCCCCACCACCCCCUCCAGUCCACAAGUCUCCUCCACCACCAGUUCACUCACCACCACCACCACCUAUUAAACCUUACAAGCCACCAACACCUCCAACAGUUCACCCACCACCCGCUUACAUCUAUUCAUCACCCCCACCUCCUCACCACUACUAGAUAUUGAGAGCUUAGUUGCAUCCAGUUGGUAAGCCUCUCCAUUCUAUGUUUUUAGAUCAUAUCCAUACAACUGCAAGCAAUCGCCAAAUAAUUUGACAAAAAACAUCCCUAGCUAUAAAAUUAUAAUACACUAGUGUUUACUUCCUUUUUUGUCUAAUAAUCCAUAUUGGCAUAUGCAAGCUUAAUGCAUUUCCAGCAUAUCGUCAUUACUCAAUUAAAGUUUCUUGAUAUUUAGUAGUACUCAAGUGUAACAAAUAGACCAAUGACAGAGACCUAACAAGUAACAAUAAUAUAUAUAUAUAU
rnacentral:lncRNA from 1 species